GACGAACGCUGGCGGCGUGCUUAACACAUGCAAGUCGAACGGGAUCCACAGGCUUUUUGUCUUUGGUGAGAGUGGCGAACGGGUGAGUAACACGUGAGUAACCUUCCCCCUUCUUUUGGAUAACCGCAUGAAAGUGUGGCUAAUACAGGAUAUUCCAGGCUGGUCUCAUGAUUGGUUUGGGAAAUGGUUUGGUCUGGUGGGGGAUGGGCUCGCGGCCUAUCAGCUUGUUGGUGGGGUGAUGGCCUACGAAGGCGGUGACGGGUAGCCGGCCUGAGAGGGUGGGCGGUCACACUGGGACUGAGAUACGGCCCAGACUCGUGCGGGAGGCAGAAGUGGGAGAUGUUGCACAAGGGGCGCAAGCCUGAUGCAGCGACGCCGCGUGAGGGAUGAAGGCCGUGGGGUUGUAGACCUCUUUCGCUGGGUUGAAAGGCCAUGCUUUGGGUGUGGUUGAUUUGAACUGGUAAAGAAGUACCGGCUAACUACGUG
rnacentral:rRNA from 1 species